ACGGAGUAGGCACUUUGAGCUUCUUCUAAAGGCAGACAUGAACAGUGGCUUGGAAGGCAUGCUUGGAAAAAUACAAAGGUUUUUUUUUUUUUCCUUCCCCCUAGCGUCAUGGUAGCUUGCCAUUAAAAACAGUUGCUGUUCCAAGCCGUCUGUGGCCAGUGCCAGACAUUCUAUCAACAAAGCAGAACAGUAUGGUCUCAGACACGUUUGUAGACUUUUCAUGAAGACGGCUAAGUGAUCUGAGACAAGCAUGGAGAGCACGGAGUCAGGCCACUUAUGACUGGAUCAGAAGGGGUCAGUGGGAACCUCUCUGUUCCUGCUCUGAUCAUACAUCUGAAGACCCACUGAAGGGGACAAGGACAACCAACCAAGGCUGUGUUCAUUUACAGGAUUAUCAGGUUCUGGAUACCUUUCUCCAGAAGCUAUACAAGUAAUGUUUUAUAACACGGAAAUAGAUGGCUUUAGGGAUGCUGAGCGCUUUUGUUUGCAGAUGAGAGUUAACGACUGAACCCAGGACCUCUUUCACUGAGCUAAGUACCCAGCCCUUACAUGAAAUGAUCUUAGUUACUUACCAAAUGGUAUUUUAUUUGCCAGUGUUUUUAACAUUGUAAUAGUAUUAUGAAUGGGAUUUAUAUCACUGUUGUGAAGAUGUCAGUGGCUGUCUUUUCAGCGGAAACUUAUGUGGUAAUAGUGUUAGUGUCCAUCUGCCAACAGAUACUAUAUUUGAUGCUAGGUGCUUUAUUUGCGACAUUUUUUCAGGUCAUUUAACUAUUUUAAAAAAGUGAAAGUAAGCAAACACGAAGAGAUAGAAUAGCUUUAAUAACUGUUUCAUGAACAUACUAUUGAGAUAGUUACUAAUUUCCAUACUUAGCAAAGUAGAAUUCAUAAUUCUUUGGUGAAUGAAUGUGUUGGAGGAUCAGCCUGGCCCUAUGGAAAUUCUGCCAUUUUCCCCAAAGUAGCAGGCAUUCUAUAUGCUGCCAACACUAUCGACUAUUUAUUGACUCAGUUGUUCUGUAGUAAAAGAUAUUAUGUAGGCUUCUUUAUGUUCAAAAGAGUAGUCUAUAGCUUAAUUCAAAGAUAUCAUUUGAUUUUUCUUAGAAAUUCAAGAAGAAUGACUUUUGGCGAGAUAAUUUUAAAACUAUUAGACUAUUUUAAAACAAUUACAAAAUGCAGUCAACUAUCACUCAAAUAGGCAUGUUCUUCAAAUUACAUUGAAGGGAACUGGGGACUCUGAUGGCAGAAUCUGAAAUCUAUUUUAGCUUGUUAGAGAUUGCCGAUAGAAUCCCCCUAGGGAAAUAGAGCGGUUUGCCUAUUUGGAAACAGGGUGAUGAAGCAUUUUAUUUUUUUUCCAGGAAAGAUUUACUUGUAUGUUUUUCUCUAAACUCGAGAGUACUGAUUUAUCUUUUGAACACUCCUGGAUUUAUACCAGUCCACCUACUUGAUUCACAUACUCUAUUUUAUAGCUGAAAGUGUCCAACAGAAAACUAUGUGAUACACAGAGUGAAGUGAAAAGUGUUACUCUGUUUCUCGGAUUUGGGUUCAAUGCCAGAGUCCUUUUUUGUAUUUCAUUCUUUUCAAAUAAUUUCACAUUUCCAUAUUUGUUUGCUUACUCUAAUAUGGAGCUGAGAAUCCAUGCUAUACACUGUUACAUGGACUGAGAGAAGUCGCACAUGUGCCAAGCCCAGCACUAAGCAAGUAGAGGUCUCUCAAGUCGAGACGAUCCGUUCUCUCGCUGGAUUUUCAUCAGGAACCUGUUCACUUUUAAAAAAAAAAAUUUCUGUUGCAUCUCCUGAAAGUGGAAUUGCAGACAGUUGCUGACUACUGUGUGGUUGCUGGGAACUGAAUCUGCGUCUGCAAGAGGAACUAGUUCUUUUAAACCCCUGAGCUCUAUCUCCAACUGCCUGCUAACUACUUUUUAACAAACAUCUUCAUCUAUUGGAUUUGUGUUUUGAUUUUUAUUCUCUAAGAUGGUAACAAAAAAUAUUUCACACACUGUGUGCUCUAUAUUGUUAUUUAAGGAGUCAUAUGUGUUAAUUAAUGUUUGAAAUAAGUCUGAAAGUGUCUUGUUCGAUACUUACUAACCAUUGCUAUCUCUUGGCCUGAAUAGUUUAGUAAUAUGUCAUAUGCCAGAGAAGAUGUAAGAAUUAAGAUAGAAUGUUAGGUUUGAAAGUGAUACAUAAUUUUCAUGAAAAAUAUUCUCAAGAUGAUGUAUGGAUAUUUUCAACUAGCUUGUGUAGAUCAUAUAAAGUUUUAUAGUUUUUUAUCACAACGAAAUAUUCAUUAAGGAGAACCUUCUUAGAAAAUAAGAAGCAACAGUCAGCUGGAGUUUUACUUUAUUUUUUAACGGGGAAACGGUUAUAGUUCUUCUUCCUAUUAUUAUCAUUAAUCUGUUUUUUUACCAUCCAGUCAUUAGUCAUUAUCCCCCUCCUAUUAUUGCUACUUCAUAUUUCCAGCUAGCUUAACACUGAAAUGCAAUUUCAAGUCCUUUCAGAAACUUAAAUAAAAUAAAAUGGAGUGUUUUUUUCCCUUCAGGUCAUUCAGUCAAAGUCCUAAUAAGGGCACAAACUUCAGAAGCUUGGGCUGUCCUAUGAUUCCUCAGAAAUGAAACAAGCAGCUUCCCAGGGCCUAUGGACCGAUUUGGUCACAGGCACUAUGUUGCUCAAACAGCUUCCCUGGAGCAGAACACAGAAAAGAAGCUCCAGUCAACAGAAAAGUGUGAGCACUCAGGUCGGGAACGUAUCUAACUGUUUACUGGAGCUCUCACUCUUUGAAAUACUUCAGUGACACCAGAAUCUAUAGCAAAUCCUACAGACUCUAAAAUGAAGAAUAAUGUCAACCAUUAAACAGAUCUGUGGAAGGAAUGAGCCACUUGCUCCACAAGUGUUUGCUAAGAAGACAGAGCACAGCAUACACACAUUUGAGAGAUAUGUAUGGACUUUUCAAGAAAGGAGCUGAAGGGGUUUACAACCCCAUAGGAAGACACAAACAACAAUAUCAACCAACCAGACCCCCCAGAACUCCCAAGAACUAAACCACCAACCAAAGAGUACACACGGAGGGACCCAUGGGGCCAGCUGCAUAUGUAGCAGAGGAUGGCAUUGUCUGGCAGCAAUAGGAGGAGAAGCCCUUGGUCCUGCCAAAGCUGGAUACCCUAGUGUAGGGGAAUGCCAGGAUUUUGAGGUGGGAAGGUGUGUGUGGGAGGGGGAACAUCCUUAAAGAGGCCAGAGGAGAGAGGAUGGGAGAGGGGAUUUUCAGAGGGGAAAUCGGAAAAAUGGAUAACAUUUGAAAUGUAAAUACAUGAACUAUCCAAUUAAGAAAAAAAGAAAGAAAAGACUCCCAUAAAAGCAGUGGCUUCAGGUCUGCUUGCAGAAUGAUGAUCUGUUCUUUACUUUUUCAGAAUAACUGGGAUUCAAAUUUUGCUAUGUGUAACAAGUGUGCAAGUAUUUUAAUACUCACAUUUAAAAUUCUUCCCUAUUAUGCUUUAAGGUACACAUUAUAUCAUAUGUACCCUGCAUUUUGGGCAGGAAGAAAACAAAAGACCAAAAGACUAAUAGUCUAAUAUCUGCUAUAUUGUUCUAAUAUUUUUGACUCAUUUAUAAUUUGAGCAUCAAUGUAUAUCAGUAUAAAAUUUCAUAUAUAUAUGAAGUGGAGUGGUUCACAAUGACCAAAUUUAAAUCUGGGGCAAAGGGAGAAGUUUGUAUUUAGGGAAAUUCUUUCUCUAAAUUGCUUCAGUUCUUCUCAGUAUAAGCCUAAGAAUUUCUUUAUAAAAAUACCGCAACUUUUAUUUUUCCAUUUAACCAAAUGGAAAUUUGUUUAUCAAUUGUUUGUCAAUAAUCACAUUAAUUUAGAAAAGAGAAGACAACACCCAUGAGAAUAAUACGUGAAAAUUUUGUUAUUAAAGUUCAGCAUGCUGACUUCAUACCAGAAAACUGAAGUGUGUAACAAGAAUCCCAGGAAUGUGGAGUCAUGGUUAUUUUUGACUUCCUUGGGAGUUUUCUGCACUCUGCUCUCCAGAAUUCAGGCAAGGCAUAUACUUCCUGGUGUAUAUAGCACAUUCACUUAGGUGAAUGGAAACUCUUCCAAAACAAAUAUCAUUCACACUAUUUACAUUCCUAACAUGUUAAACGUGGUGAUUGUUAAUUAUGAAGUUGACAGAACUCAGAAUCACCUUGGAGAUGACCCUCUGCCAUGCCUCUGGGGGGAUUAUCAUUACCUUAACUGAUAUGGGAGAAUCCAUUUUGGCUGGAGAGAGACUCACUCUCUCAAUGUAGAGUGAUCAGCUUCAAAAUAGAGGAUGUGUAUUGCUCUGCUUCUCAUUGAGUGUGCAAUGUGACCAGCUGCUUCUGGCUCCUGCCACACUGAAUUCACAGCUAUGAUGGACUGAACUGUGAGCCAAAACAAACCCUUUCUCCCUUGAGUUGCUUUAUUAUUUUAGAAUAUUUUCUUAUAUAUAGGAAAAGAAACUAAUAUAAAUUAAUACAUAUGCCUGAAUGAAUGAAAAACAUUAUUUUGCUAAAGUUUUAAACAUUAAUGCAAUGAUAUUCUUUGAUAGUAGUUUUGAAUUGUGACACAAAAUACUAAUGUAUACAUAUGCUCACAGAGCUGAAACUUAAGUGUUAACAAUCAAUACAAAAGUAAAACAAAACAAAAAUAGGAGAAUA